GUAGUCAAAUUGGUUUGUUAAACAGUUUUUUUUUCCUAGAAAUUUUAAAGAAUUUAAUUGGGUGGUGGUGCUAGUUUAAUAAAGUUUUUGCCUGAUUUUUGUUUUUCCCUUUGAUGUGAUUUAGAAGAUCACAAGUGAUAGAAGUUCGGACUAUUUAUUGUUAUAAUUACUCUUUAAUGUGGGAAAGAGCAAAAUCUUAGUAAGCUGCAGUGCGCCAUUAGUAGUUUAUUGUAGGGAUCAAUCCAGUUUGCAUGGCAGGCAAAUGAAUGGCUUACCUUCCCUCGAGAAAGUUUUUUUGGUUGUUGGAAGGUUGAUGACAGCAAAUGAGGGAGCUUUAUUUUGUAGAGAGUUCCCUCCCACUUUUACCAAUUGCUUUUGCUUUCCUACUAAUAGUACUUGUCUUCCACCACCAUGGCUGCAUCUUCCCCUACCAACGUUUUCAACCCUUCUUCCGCCACAACACUUCCCACUUCUGAAAAACUCAGAGAAAGAGACGUCCGGACAGAAAAACAGUGUCUCCAACGCCACAGCCAUACUAUAAUUAAAGGCUUUGAAAGAGCAAUCUGAAGCACUAACAAAAAGACAUUUCUAUGAGCUAGAUUACCAUCGUUGAAGUGAUCCUUGUCAUCAUUGACAUGAUGUUGGGCUGCCAAGUCAUUAACACUGUGGAUGUUCUGAGCCAACACAGCAAAAGGAGCUCUCAGCUGCUGAUUCAUAGCUCCAGAUUGCUUACGUAAUCCGUCUCUUAAGGUGUAAUUUUCUGUGAUAUCAGGGAUGUAGGUUGGCCUGAAAGGUAAAAAUAGUGAGUUCUACCCUGUUAAGCAUAAAUACGAAUGGCAUUUGUACAUAUACACAUUCAACUUUUACUGUACCUAAUCUUCUUUAGAGGUGCUGCAGUCUCAGCUCCAUCUGUACCGAACCCAUUUUGGGAUACAACCCUUUUGUUGUUCAUUUUAAUGUAUGAACCGGAAUUCUCUUU